UACGGAGGUGCGAGCGUUGUCCGGAAUCACUGGGCGUAAAGGGCGCGUAGGCGGCGCGGGAAGUCAUCGGUGAAGUUCAGGGCUCAACUCUGAAUCGGCCGGUGAUACUCUCGUGCUUGAGCACUGUAGAGGCAGGUGGAAUUCCGGGUGUAGCGGUGGAAUGCGUAGAGAUCCGGAAAGAACACCGGUGGCGAAGGCGGCCUGCUGGGCAGUAGCUGACGCUGAUGCGCGACGAGCGAUGGGGAGCAA
rnacentral:rRNA from 1 species